ACACAUGCAGCCGAGCGGUAUUGUUUCUUCGGAAUGAGAGAGCGGCGUACGGGUGCGGAACACGUGUGCAACCUGCCUUUAUCUGGGGGAUAGCCUUUCGAAAGGAAGAUUAAUACUCCAUAAUAUAUUGAACGGCAUCGUUUAAUAUUGAAAGCUCCGGCGGAUAGAGAUGGACACGCGCAAGAUUAGCUAGUUGGUGAGGUAACGGCUCACCAAGGCGAUGAUCUUUAGGGGGCCUGAGAGGGUGAUCCCCCACACUGGUACUGAGACACGGACCAGACUCCUACGGGAGGCAGCAGUGAGAAAUAUUGGUCAAUGGGUGCAAGCCUGAACCAGCCAUCCCGCGUGAAGGACGACUGCCCUAUGGGUUGUAAACUUCUUUUGUAUAGGGAUAAACCUACCCUCGUGAGGGUAGCUGAAGGUACUAUACGAAUAAGCACCGGCUAACUCCGUGCCAGCCGCCGCGGUAAUACGGAGGGUGCAAGCGUUAUCCGGAUUUAUUGGGUUUAAAGGGUCCGUAGGCGGACUUAUAAGUCAGUGGUGAAAGCCUGUCGCUUAACGAUAGAACUGCCAUUGAUACUGUAAGUCUUGAGUAUAUUUGAGGUAGCUGGAAUAAGUAGUGUAGCGGUGGAAUGCAUAGAUAUUACUUAGAACACCAAUUGCGACGGCAGGUUACCAAGAUAUAACUGACGCUGAGGGACGAAAGCGUGGGGAGCGAACAGGAUUAGAUACCCUGCUAGUCCACGCCGUAAACGAUGCUAACUCGUUUUUGGGCUUUAGGGU
rnacentral:rRNA from 1 species